rnacentral:rRNA from 1 species
GAUGAACGCUGGCGGCGUGCCUAACACAUGCAAGUCGAACGAACAGAUAAGGAUUUCUCCUCUUUGACGUUACCGGCGGGCGGGUAAGUCAUACGUGUCUAACCUACCUAUAAGACUGGGAUCACUUCGGGAAACCUGAGAUAACACCGGAUCAGAUAUUGAACCGCAUGGUUCUUUAGUGAUCGGCGUCUCUGCUGACCCUAAUACAUGGUACCGAGCCGUAUUAGCUAGUUGGUACGGUAACGGCCUACCAAGGCGACGAUACGUAGCUGACCUGAGAGGGUGAUCAGCCACACUGGAACUGAGACACGGUCCAGACUCCUACGGGAGGCAGCAGUAGGGAAUCUUCCGCAAUGGGCGAAAGCCUGACGCAGCAACGCCGCGUGAGUGAUGAAGGUCUUCGGAUCGUAAAGCUCUGUUAUCUGGGAAGAACGAAUGUGUAAGUAACUGUGCAUAUCUUGACGGUACCUGAUCAGAAAGCCACGGCUAACUUCGUG